CCUACGGGCGGCUGCAGUGGGGAAUAUUGGACAAUGGGGGCAACCCUGAUCCAGCCAUGCCGCGUGUGUGAAGAAGGCCCUCGGGUUGUAAAGCACUUUCAGUGAGGAAGAACGCCUGGUGGUUAAUACCCAUCAGGAAAGACAUCACUCACAGAAGAAGCACCGGCUAACUCCGUGCCAGCAGCCGCGGUAAUACGGAGGGUGCGAGCGUUAAUCGGAAUUACUGGGCGUAAAGCGCGCGUAGGUGGCUUGAUAAGCCGGUUGUGAAAGCCCCGGGCUCAACCUGGGAACGGCAUCCGGAACUGUCAAGCUAGAGGGCAGGAGAGGAAGGUAGAAUUCCCGGUGUAGCGGUGAAAUGCGUAGAGAUCGGGAGGAAUACCAGUGGCGAAGGCGGCCUUCUGGACUGACACUGACACUGAGGUGCGAAAGCGUGGGUAGCAAACAGGAUUAGAUACCCCAGUAGUC
rnacentral:rRNA from 1 species